rfam:Myotis davidii contig199905, whole genome shotgun sequence.
GCCGAUUUGGCUCAGUAGAUAGAGCAUUGGCCUGUGGACCCAAGGGUCCCGGGUUCAAUUCCAGCUAAGGGCA